CCUACGGGUGGCAGCAGUGGGGAAUAUUGCACAAUGGGGGAAACCCUGAUGCAGCAACGCCGCGUGAGCGAUGAAGGCCUUCGGGUCGUAAAGCUCUUUCCUAAGGGAAGAAUACUGACGGUACCUUAGGAGGAAGCCCCGGCUAACUACGUGUCAGCAGCCGCGGUAAUACGGUGGGUGCUAGCGAUAUCCGGAAUUACUGGGCGUAAAGGGUGCGGAGGUGGCCCUUCAAGUCAGAUGUUAAAGGCUUCGGCAUAACCGUAGUUAGCCUUUGAAACUGCAGGGCUUGAGUGCAGGAAAGGAGAGUCGAAUUUCCAGUGUAGCGUUGAAAUGCGUAGACAUUGGGAGGAACACCAGUUGCGAAGGCGUCUCUAUGGACUGUAACUGACGCUGAGGCACGAAAGCGUGGGGAGCGAACAGGAUUAGAUACCCCUGUAGUC
rnacentral:rRNA from 1 species